rnacentral:lncRNA from 1 species
AAAAUUUAAAUAAAAAAAUAUAAAAAAAUAGGGGGGUGGGGGUGUAUGCGCCAGAUGAAUUGGCGCAUACACCAAGCAAAUGAACCUAGGCUCCACUAGCAUUGACGCCUUCUCAUGAGGCCUAAUGCAGGCGUCACUAGCAUUGGCGCCUCCUCAUGAUGAGCCCAAUGCAUGCGCCAAUGCUAUUGGCGCCUCCUCUUUACACUUUGGGGAUGCGCCAAUUCUUCUGGCGCAUCCUCUACCAAACUUGGUUAUUUUGG